rnacentral:rRNA from 1 species
AUUGAACGCUGGCGGAAUGCUUUACACAUGCAAGUCGAACGGCAGCGCGGGCUUCGGCCUGGCGGCGAGUGGCGAACGGGUGAGUAAUAUAUCGGAACGUACCCAAGAGUGGGGGAUAACGUAGCGAAAGUUACGCUAAUACCGCAUACGAUCUAAGGAUGAAAGCAGGGGACCGCAAGGCCUUGUGCUCCUGGAGCGGCCGAUAUCUGAUUAGCUAGUUGGUGGGGUAAAGGCCUACCAAGGCAUCGAUCAGUAGCCGGUCUGAGAGGACGACCAGCCACACUGGGACUGAGACACGGCCCAGACUCCUACGGGAGGCAGCAGUGGGGAAUUUUGGACAAUGGGGGGCAACCCUGAUCUAGCAAUGCCGCGUGAGUGAAGAAGGCC